rnacentral:hammerhead_ribozyme from 1 species
AUCCAGCUGACGAGUCCCAAAUAGGAUUAGACGCGCGUCCUAGAU